CAAUACUAUAAGUUUCAGUCCAUUUUCAUGGAAAACAGAAGUUCCUGCUGGGCUGAGGCUGUGCAUGAGCACAUGAGGAACUCUGGACUACCGAAGCACCAGGUGGACAGAAGGACAAAAGAGUCUUGUUCCAAUGAGCUCACGCUCUCACUUUUGCCAAACAGGAGGAUUUGCAUCAAAAUAGAAUGUGCUCAGAUCCGGGCCCCAUAUAGUCUUUUAAACUAUGUUUAUGGAAAAAAACAACAAAACUCUGCACAUAAGAAGAUGGAAAAGAAACCAGGAAGUCGAGACAGAGCUGGGAUUAGAAUUGCUCUUGAAAUGUUCACUGAGAUGAUGAGAUGUUGUUUGAGGGGUCCCUGACAGGUACUUUGUCCUUAGAUUAUCACACAGAGAUAAGGUGCUGUGGAGAGUUUAUUGCUUUCUACACACUCUGGAGAACCAGGUGGUGAAUAUGUUAGAAAAUUGCCAGGGUCCAAAUUUGGGUCUGGAUAGACUAAAACACCAAAUUACAAAGUUUGAAGAUUAAAUGAGCAAACAAAAAUA